UACGGUAGGCAGCAAGCGUUGUUCGGAGUUACUGGGCGUAAAGGGUGCGUAGGCGGUCCUAUAAGUAUGGUGUGAAAUCUCCCGGCUUAACUGGGAGGGUGCGCUAUAGACUGUGGGACUAGAGUGUGGGAGAGGAAAGUGGAAUUCCUGGUGUAGCGGUGAAAUGCGUAGAUAUCAGGAGGAACACCGGUGGUGUAAACGGCUUUCUGGACCAUAACUGACGCUGGAGGCACGAAAAGCCGUGGGUAGCAAACAGG
rnacentral:rRNA from 1 species